GCCUAAAUAUGCUGAAAGAACUUGAUUCUGACUGAUCUUGGAAGCUAGGCAGCAUCAUCCCUGGUUAGUACUUGGAUAGGAGACUGCCAAUAAGUAUCAGAUAAUGUAGGCU
rnacentral:rRNA from 1 species